rnacentral:rRNA from 1 species
AGAGUUUGAUCCUGGCUCAGAAUCAACGCUGGCGGCGUGCCUCAGACAUGCAAGUCGAACGCGAAAGCCUCCUUCGGGGGGCAAGUAGAGUGGCGCACGGGUGAGUAACACGUAGGUAAUCUACCUUUGGAUUGGGAAUAACAACCGGAAACGGUUGCUAAUACCGAAUAAUGCAGCGGCACCUAAUGGUGACAGUUGUUAAAGCGGGGGAUCGCAAGACCUCGCGUCUGAAGAGGAGCCUGCGGCGGAUUAGCUAGUUGGUAAGGUAACGGCUUACCAAGGCGAUGAUCCGUAGCCGGCCUGAGAGGGCGGUCGGCCACACGGACACUGACAUACGGGUCAGACUCCUACGGGAGGCAGCAGUCGGGAAUUUUGGGCAAUGGGCGAAAGCCUGACCCAGCAACGCCGCGUGAAGGAUGAAAUCCCUCGGGAUGUUUCUUCGCAAGAACGGGAAGAAUAAGUAAGAGUUAAUAUCUCUUACGAUGACGGUACUGUUUAGUCCCCC